ACUCAAAGGAAUAGACGGGGGCCCGCACAAGCGGUGGAGCAUGUGGUUUAAUUCGACGCAACGCGAAGAACCUUACCUGGGCUCGAAAUGGAGUGGACCGGAGUAGAAAUAUUCCUUCCCCGCAAGGGGCCGCUUUAUAGGUGCUGCAUGGCUGUCGUCAGCUCGUGUCGUGAGAUGUUGGGUUAAGUCCCGCAACGAGCGCAACCCUUAUCCCCAGUUGCCAUCAUUAAGUUGGGCACUCUGGUGAAACCGCCUCGGAUAACGGGGAGGAAGGUGGGGAUGACGUCAAGUCCUCAUGGCCUUUAUGUCCAGGGCUACACACGUGCUACAAUGGCCGGUACAAACCGUCGCAAACCCGCGAGGGGGAGCUAAUCGGAAAAAGCCGGCCUCAGUUCGGAUCGCAGUCUGCAACUCGACUGCGUGAAGCUGGAAUCGCUAGUAAUCGCGGAUCAGAAUGCCGCGGUGAAUACGUUCCCGGGCCUUGCACACACCGCCCGU
rnacentral:rRNA from 1 species